rnacentral:rRNA from 1 species
CUCGAGGAUGAGACUGCGGCCUAUCAGGCUGUUGGUGGUGUAACGGACCACCAAACCUACGACGGGUAUGGGCAAUGAGAGUUGGAGCCCAGAGAUGGGGACUGAGACAAGGCCCCAGGCCCUACGGGGCGCAGCAGGCGCGAAAACUCCGCAAUGCGCGAAAGCGUGACGGGGGAACCCCAAGUGCCGUUGGUCUUUGAUCGACGGCUUUUAGGGAGUCUAAGAAGCUCCCGGAAUAAGGGCUGGGCAAGUCGGGUGCCAGCCGCCGCGGUAAUACCCGCAGCCCAAGUGGUGGUCGCGAUUAUUGGGCCUAAAGCGCUCGUAGCCGGGUCAGCAAGUCCCUUGUGAAAUCGGGCGGCCUAACCGUUCGGCUUGCAAGGGAUACUGUUGGUCUUGAGGCCGGGAGACGUCUGAGGUACUCCGGGGGUAGCGGUAAAAUGCUGUAAUCCUUGGGGGACCACCAGUGGCGAAGGCGUCAGACGAGAACGGACCUGACGGUGAGGGGCGAAGGCUAGGGGAGCGAACGGGAUUAGAUACCCCGGUAGUCCUAGCUGUAAAGCAU